rnacentral:rRNA from 1 species
AUACGGAGGGGGCUAGCGUUGUUCGGAAUUACUGGGCGUAAAGCGCACGUAGGCGGAUCGGUCAGUUGGGGGUGAAAUCCCAAGGCUCAACCUUGGAACUGCCCUCAAUACUGCCGAUCUUGAGUCCGAGAGAGGUGAGUGGAAUUCCUAGUGUAGAGGUGAAAUUCGUAGAUAUUAGGAAGAACACCAGUGGCGAAGGCGGCUCACUGGCUCGGUACUGACGCUGAGGUGCGAAAGCGUGGGGAGCAAACAGGAUUAGAAACCCCAGUAGUCC